rnacentral:rRNA from 1 species
ACGGCUCAGUAACACGUGGACAACCUACCCAAAGGUCUGGGAUAACUCCGGGAAACUGGGGAUAAUACCGGAUAGGUCAAGAGUACUGGAAGGGUUUUUUGAUUGAAAGCUCUGGCGCCUUUGGAUGGGUCUGCGGCUGAUUAGGUUGACGCCGGUGUAAAGUACCGGCGUGCCGAUUAUCAGUACGGGUUGUGGGAGCAAGAGCCCGUAGAUGGAUUCUGAGACACGAAUCCAGGCCCUACGGGGCGCAGCAGGCGCGAAAACUCUACAAUGCAGGCAACUGCGAUAGGGGAACAUCGAGUGGCAUCUACAUUAGGUGUCUGUCCAGCUGUCUAAAAAACGGCUGUUAGCAAGGGCCGGGCAAGACCGGUGCCAGCCGCCGCGGUAAUACCGGCGGCUCGAGUGGUGGCCGAUAUUAUUGAGUCUAAAGGGUCCGUAGCCGGCUUUGCAAGUCUUGUGGGAAAUCCAGCGGCUUAACCGUUGGGCGUCUGCGGGAUACUACAUUGCUUGGGACUGGGAGAGGUAGGAGGUACUCAGGGGGUAGGAGUGAAAUCCUGUAAUCCUCUGGGGACCACCGGUGGCGAAGGCGUCCUACCAGAACAGGUCCGACGGUGAGGGACGAAAGCUAGGGGCACGAACCGGAUUAGAUACCCGGGUAGUCCUAGCCGUAAACGAUGCCCGCUAGGUGUCACGGCAGUCGUGAACUGCCGUGGUGCCGUAGGGAAGCCGUGAAGCGGGCCACUUGGGAAGUACGACCGCAAGGUUGAAACUUAAAGGAAUUGGCGGGGGAGCAC